AUGGCUCAGGACGAACGCUGGCGGCGUGCCUAAUACAUGCAAGUCGAACGGUCUUUCUAUGGAAGCUUGCUUCCACUGAGAAGAUAGUGGCGAACGGGUGAGUAACACGUGGGUAACCCUGCCCAUAAGAGGGGGAUAACAUCCGGAAACGGGUGCUAAUACCGCAUAGUUUUCUUGAUCGCAUGAUUGGGAAAGGAAAGACGGCCUUUGUGCUGUCGCUUAUGGAUGGACCCGCGGCGUAUUAGUUAGUUGGUGAGGUAACGGCUCACCAAGACGAUGAUACGUAGCCGACCUGAGAGGGUGAUCGGCCACAUUGGGACUGAGACACGGCCCAAACUCCUACGGGAGGCAGCAGUAGGGAAUCUUCCGCAAUGGACGAAAGUCUGACGGAGCAACGCCGCGUGAGUGAAAGAAGGUUUUCGGAUCGUAAAACUCUGUUGUCAGAGAAGAACAAGUUGGAGAGUAACUGCUCCAGCCUUGACGGUAUCUGACCAGAAAGCCACGGCUAACUACGUGCCAGCCGCCGC
rnacentral:rRNA from 1 species